GAUGAACGCUGGCGGCGUGCCUAAUACAUGCAAGUCGAACGAAAAGACGAGGAGCUUGCCUUUUUGACGUUAGAGGGGGGGAGGGGAGAAACAUGUGGAUAAAACACCUAUAAGACGGGGGUAAACUAGGGAAAACGGAGCUAAAAACGGAAAAAAUAUUGAAGAGCAUGGAUGAAUAGUGAAAGACGGCUUUGCUGCGACUGAUAGAAGGAUCCACGCGGCAUUAGCUAGUGGGUAGGGUAACGGAUUACCAAGGCAACGAUGCGUAGCAGAGCUGAGAGGGUGAUCGGCCACACUGGAACUGAGACACGGUCCAGACUCCUACGGGAGGCAGCAGUAGGGAAUCUUCCGCAAUGGGCGCAAGCCUGACGCAGCCACGCCGCGUGUAUGAUGAAGGCCUUCGGAUCGUAAAGCACUUUUAUCAGGGAGGAACGGAUUUAUAUUUAUCCAUUCACUCCUUGACGUUACCUGAUCAAGAAGCCCCGGCUAACUACGUG
rnacentral:rRNA from 1 species